rnacentral:lncRNA from 1 species
AUGACUACAGAUCAGGCCACAUUCCAAUCUCACUUGCGAUGUUUUUGCACCAUGGCCUUCAAGAGAGAUAAGCUUUCCCUCUUCAGUGACCGCAAGCUUAGAACCAAGUUUAUAUUCUUUUCUUGCAAUACUGUUGGGGUUUUUUCACAUCUUAUUGGUAAAACAAUAGCAAAACAAAGGCCAAAGAGAAGUGAUUUGACAGUUAGUAUUACCCUAAGGGAAAAAAAGGCGAAGGACUUGAACCGCAGACACCAGCAUGGCAAGCUAUUGGUUAUUCUUGUGCGGGUGACUGUCCCCCUCUAGUUUUAACCUCACAUAGCUGUAUGGACCUGAAAAACUCUUCCCAACACAGGUAUCACCAGAAUUCUAAUGGCCAUAUUGAAAGUGUCAGAAAAUUCCCUGCCAAGCUCUAUUUGCAGCAUUCUGGGAAAUACCAGAGAUGAGAAGAACAAUGCACAAGCAGUCCAAGACUGAACGCUUCCAAUUGCCUUCAGCCCUUGCCAACACGGGGAACUAAGCAGUUUGCUUUGCUACUGACCAAGCACUUUCUACAAGAUAGCUGGAAAGAAUGGUGGAAGGGGGUGGAGGGAAUUCCUCUUCCAGAUGCCAGUUAGCUCUGAAUCCUUUCCUUUAAGUUAACACAUUUCUUCAAGUGUCCAACGGAAUAAUGAAGCAAAUGCUUCUAAAAGAGCUAGUAACACACCAGACAUGCAGUCAUUCAUAUCUGAAUGUAGUGCAACCUCAGAUCAUUCACGUAUCAAUUAAAUAUUGUUACCCUGACACCCAGUCUGAAACAGCAAGUACAUCAGUGAGUAGAGCUGCAAUGCUCUUACCCUGCUGUAUUUGUUCUGGCAAUCAAAAGGGGGCACAUAGACUGCCUAACUGUCAUUACAGGUCCUUCGAUAAGUGAAAAUUCACUUUUAACAAAACACAAUGACUAUUCUUUUCUAAUCAAGUCAAGCAGGCUUGUAUUCUAAUGAAAAGGCAUUAAACCAAGGGAGAAACAGAUUAAAAUAAGUUAUGCUAUACUGCAAAAUACACCUGUGACUGCAACUAUAAUUGGUGGAUAGACAGGCAGUCGCUCUGUCAGCUUUGGAAAUGGGUCAUGGUGUUCUGGAAAAAAACAGCAAAAUGAGUUAAAAUUCAGCUUUCAGUUCUACAGCUCUAUAUACACUGUAGAAAAAUAGAUUCAGGUUGAUUGAUCGUACUCAAAGCUGUGAUUUCUUUUGGAUGUACUCCCAAAACAGACUCAUCAGCACUGACCAGAUUCCUAUUUCUGUGGUAUACUUUGCAGCUACUGGCUGUGUAGUCAUGCUAACAUAAAACCAUCUGUAUUUCCUGAAUCAAUGUAAACUUCUUAAUUUUUAUUAUUUCAGGGAGAAGGUGAUUCUGAAUAAAUUUUGAAGCUGCUAGCA